GUCAACAAACACCCAUGUCUGUGAAGACCGCCUCGGAGAGCAGCAAGGAACAAACAAAGCCCAGAAGAAAGCAGGUAGAAAGAUUAGAAGUUGAUCCCAGCAAGCAUUCCUGCCCUGAUGUGUCUACUAUAGUACAAGAGAGAAAACACAAACCCAAAAGGAUGGAAUCUCAACCACAAGUUGAACCCAGUGAGGCAGAGCCAGACUUUGACGAUAACCCAGAGGUGCCUCCACUCAUUUGAAACAUGAGGAUGGAUUGUUACUGACUGCGAGCCACAGACCCAUGUUGCUUUGUGUUGACAGUGGAAAUGUGUCAUUCAUGGGGUAAACAUAGUUCGUUCCCAUUUUAUCUGAUGCUAUAAUGCUCACUUUGCAUAAUAAUACUCUUAAGUGAAUUUACAAUUAAAUUGCGUUCCUUGAA
rnacentral:lncRNA from 14 species